UCCUUGUCGCCUUGCUCGUCGCCUCCAGAGAUCCUCGUCUCCUUGCUCGUCGCCUCAUCGUUCUCUCUCUAAGAUCCGAAGGUUGUCUUUGGUGAUAUCUUUGAUCUUCUCGGAACCGCUCCAGAUUCAACUGUAGGUUUCUCUUGGAUCUCUCUGUCAACAUGAAUCCAAAUUCAUCCGAGGUACCAGUUUAAAAUAGCACCAACAUGAAGAGAAGGAAACCAAACCAAGCAAAACGAUACACUGCAUAGUUAAUGAUCAAUGGAUAGCAAAGAAAAGGGAAGAGAACGCUGGCAAAUACAUAUGAAACACAAAGGGUAAUCGGAAGCUUCGAGAUGAAAGGAAAAUCCAAGGCUUUUCAAAGAAAUUAGUGAAAAGACUUAGAAAGGCUAUAACGUCAUAAGCUUGGAUUUACAUAUACAUCAUCAAAAUUUACUUUUAUUCUUGUUAUAGUACUUGAUUGAUCAAUCACCAUAUAGAUACAACAACUCUAAUAUCGCAUAAUUAAUCCCUAAAAAUAAAUUUAUUGUUAAAACAUUUAAAAUUACAUUCAAUAAAUUUAUACAAAAUCUAACAUUAUAAUGUAAAAUAAAAUUAUAAAUUUUACCACGUGCAUUGCACAUGCAAUCCAACUAGUAAAUAUAAAUGUUUUAGUUUGACUAUUUUGUGUUUUCUUUAUCUAUUAAUAGGCACAUCCUGGAGCAAAACAAUUUCGUUACAAACCUGAACCGUGUUUUGAAAACUUGCAAAUCAUUUAUGGGAAAGACAUGGUUGUUGGUUGAUCUUCUGAAACUAUCAAAGAAAGACGUGCUCGCAUAGAAAAUGAAAGAGAUGAAUCAAGUUCUAUCCAGUGUUGUAAAUAGCGGCCAAUAGCGGGGCUAUAGCGGCGCGAAUAGCGGUCGCGGCCCUUCAGCGCUACGCGUAGGGGUUUCACGGCUGGCUUAAGCGGGAAAAUCCGCUAUUCAUUCGAAUAGCGCGUAAAAGCGGAUUUUAGCGGGUUAAAAGCAGAUUUUCGCGGUUAAAAGCGGAUU